rnacentral:rRNA from 1 species
CCCAAAAGAUCGAAUGGGGAGAUUCAUCGUCAGCGUGAUUGGCGCUUGUGCGGUUCGCGAUGCCAGGGACUUCGGUCUCAUGGCACGCGUCCGCAUGGUUAAAGCCUUUCAUCGUCGGCGUGCACUUCUCCUCUAGUAGGACGUCGCGACCCGUUGGGUGUCGGUCUACGGCCCGGGUGGUAGCCUGUUAUGCGUCACGGUUAAUCCCGUCGUGUGGCAAACCCCCGGUUGCCUGACCAGCUGCCCGGCGGUACUCGCACGGUAUCGAGCCGCAAUUUUUUUAUUGCGUCCAGCCCAUCGCAAGCUUGGCAAGUGUAUACCCGGAUGUACGGACCUAGCGCCGUCACCGGGCCUGGCCAGCUGUUGGUUGAUGGUGUUCUGGGACUGGCUCUUUUUUCUUUAUGGAAAAUAUACCGGUCGGCGACGCUACAGCUUUGGGUACUUUCAGGACCCGUCUUGAAACACGGACCAAGGAGUCUAACAUGUGCGCGAGUCAUUGGGACAAUAAAGCCUAAAGGCGUAAUGAAAGUGAAGGUUAGCCUUGCGCUGACCGAGGGAGGAUGGGCCGCGUCACGAUGCGGUCCCGCACUCCCGGGGCGUCUCGUUCUCAUUGCRAGAUGAGGCGCACCCAGAGCGUACACGUUGGGACCCGAAAG